rnacentral:misc_RNA from 1 species
CCAAACUUGGUCAUUUAGAGGAAGUAAAAGUCAUAACAAGGUUUCCGUAGGUGAACCUGCGGAAGGAUCAUUACAGUGUUUUGAUGCAGUGCGCCCCCCAAAGGCGUGCCGCCAGAACCCCACCCUUGACUACUAUACCGUCUGUUGCUUCGGCGGGUGCCUGCCCCCCUGGGGUCUGUGCCCGCCGGAGGACAAUCUGAACUCUUUGAAUUAUUCGGCCGUCUGAGUGAUUUUUGAAUCGUUAAAACUUUCAACAAUGGAUCUCUUGGUUCCGGCAUCGAUGAAGAACGCAGC